rnacentral:rRNA from 1 species
UUGACAUCCAGCGAACUUGGCAGAGAUGCCUUGGUGCCUUCGGGAACGCUGAGACAGGUGCUGCAUGGCUGUCGUCAGCUCGUGUUGUGAAAUGUUGGGUUAAGUCCGCAACGAGCGCAACCCUUAUCCUUUGUUACCAGCGAUUCGGUCGGGAACUCAAAGGAGACUGCCGGUGAUAAACCGGAGGAAGGUGGGGAUGACGUCAAGUCAUCAUGGCCCUUACGAGUAGGGCUACACACGUGCUACAAUGGCGCAUACAAAGAGAAGCGACCUCGCGAGAGCAAGCGGACCUCAUAAAGUGCGUCGUAGUCCGGAUCGGAGUCUGCAACUCGACUCCGUGAAGUCGGAAUCGCUAGUAAUCGUGGAUCAGAAUGCCACGGUGAAUACGUUCCCGGGCCUUGUACACACCGCCCGUCACACCAUGGGAGUGGGUUGCAAAAGAAGUAGGUAGCUUAACCUUCGGGAGGGCGCUUACCACUUUGUGAUUCAUGACUGGGGUGAAGUCGUAACAAGGUAGGCGUAGCGAG